CUUGCCAAGAGCCAUUGAUGGGAAGUACAAGGCCCAGCCAGGCUCCACAGACUGAAGAAAAGAAGCUAGAUCCCCACACCAGAGCAGCAAGGAAGGACAGUAGCUUGUCAGAACCCUCUGCCACCCAUAAGGGCCUUUGGUACCAUCUAGUAGAACCCAUUGUGAAGCCACAAAGAGAUGAGACCAACAUGGCAACAGCUUGCCAAGCCAAACCCUGAUAUCUAUGCUAUCCAACAGGAAGUGCUUCCUUUGUGAGCAGAUGGGCCCCUUCUGUAGAGACAACCUCCAUAUGGAAUUCAACUUCGGGCAAGAAUUAUGGACGCACUGUCAGAUGAUGUAUCAGAUUGUUGCCCCUUUUGGACCAGCGAUUCUGUCUCUGUGAUGAGAAACCCCCUUAGGUUCACUUUCACCUUGUGAUCCCUCAAAGGACAAGGAAAGACAAAGGAAAGGAACAUGGGAGAGUGAUUUGAUAA